rnacentral:sRNA from 15 species
GACACGUGAAAAUAAACCACGCUCCAAAAAAAAUAAACGCGAAUAACCUUGUAAAAUCCAUGAUGAAAUUUCUUUUGGCUUGCCCGAAAUCUCUCUCUGUUCCGUCUUUUUUCAUCAGUGAGUAAGUGAAAUGAUCAUAGUAUACCUGAAGU